rnacentral:misc_RNA from 1 species
GUAGGUGAACCUGCGGAAGGAUCAUUAUCGAGUAAGGGUCCUCCGGGGCCCGACCUCCCAACCCUCGUGUCUACCACACCUCGUUGCUUUGGCGGGCCCGCCUUCUGGGGCCGCCAACGGCCCAUACAAAACCUGAUUAAACGAACCGUGAAUUCUCAGUUAAAUAUAAUAAGCAAAAACUUUCAACAACGGAUCUCUUGGUUCUG